AAAGCAAUAUACAGCUAAUGGUCUGCUUACUUUUCCAGAAUUCCUCUUGCUGAUGACAUGAUUCCUGUUUGAUUCUGUUUAGAAGAUUGUGAAUGCUGAAGAGGGAAUUGUAGUAUUGUGCUGGAAUUACAAGAAGUAGAUAAUAUCGAAGACACAAGGAGUGGGAGAGAGUGGACUGGAAGCUGACUAGGAACGAAUACGAUUCUUAGAAUAUCACCUUCAUUUUAAGAAAGAGAACUAGAAGCUUCAUGUCAAACAAACUUCUUUAGAAGAGCUUUCAGACCUACCAACCAUUGCAAAAAAGGUA
rnacentral:lncRNA from 1 species